rnacentral:rRNA from 1 species
CCUACGGGAGGCAGCAGUGGGGAAUAUUGCACAAUGGGGGGAACCCUGAUGCAGCGACGCCGCGUGAGUGAAGAAGUAUUUCGGUAUGUAAAGCUCUAUCAGCAGGGAAGAAAAUGACGGUACCUGACUAAGAAGCCCCGGCUAACUACGUGCCAGCAGCCGCGGUACUACGUAGGGGGCAAGCGUUAUCCGGAUUUACUGGGUGUAAAGGGAGCGCAGACGGCUGUGCAAGUCUGGAGUGAAAGGCGGGGGCCCAACCCCCGGACUGCUCGGGAAACUGUAAAGCUGGAGUGCAGGAGAGGUAAGCGGAAUUCCUAGUGUAGCGGUGAAAUGCGUAGAUAUUAGGAGGAACACCAGUGGCGAAGGCGGCUUACUGGACUGCAACUGACGUUGAGGCUCGAAAGCGUGGGGAGCAAACAGGAUUAGAUACCCGGGUAGUC